rnacentral:tRNA from 1 species
UCCCUGGUGGUCUAGUGGUUAGGACUUGGCACUUUCACUGUCAUGGCCUGGAUUCAGUCCCUGAUCAGGGAA